rnacentral:misc_RNA from 1 species
ACCUUUCAAAUCAGGGUGCGGCGCGGCCCCCGAGGAGCGGAAACAAUCCUUGGGAGGUAUGCGGGGGCUUCGAGCCCCCCAUUUACGCACGCACGACUGUCAUCCUUACUUUACGAGCACCUUCUGUUCUCCCUCGGCGGGGCAACCUGCCGUUGGAACCGAAUAAACUCUUUUUGCAUCUAGCAUUACCUGUUCCGAAACAAACAAUCGUUA